UACGGAGGGUGCGAGCGUUAUCCGGAUUCACUGGGUUUAAAGGGUGCGCAGGCGGUUUUUUAAGUCAGUGGUGAAAUCCUGCAGCUUAACUGCAGAACUGCCAUUGAUACUAUUGAACUUGAAUGUCGCUGAGGACAGCGGAAUGGGGCAUGUAGCGGUGAAAUGCAUAGAUAUGCCCCGGAACACCGAUUGCGAAGGCAGCUGUCUAAAGGACGAUUGACGCUGAGGCACGAAAGCGUGGGUAGCGAAC
rnacentral:rRNA from 1 species